UGGGGAAUUUUGGACAAUGGGCGAAAGCCUGAUCCAGCAACGCCGCGUGAAGGAUGAAGGUCUUCGGAUUGUAAACUUCUUUUAGAGGGAACGAAUAAAUUGACGGUACUCUCAGAAAAAGCCACGGCUAACUACGUGCCAGCAGCCGCGGUAAUACGUAGGUGGCGAGCGUUACUCGGAUUUACUAGGUGUAAAGCGUGUGUAGGUGGUUGCAUAAGUCUAUGGUGAAAUCUCCCGGCUUAACCGGGAGGGGUCCAUAGAAACUAUGCGGCUUGAGUGUGGGAGGGGAGAACGGAAUUCCUGGUGUAGCGGUGAAAUGCGUAGAUAUCAGGAGGAACACCGAUGGCGAAAGCGGUUCUCUGGCCCAAUACUGACACUGAGACACGAAAGCUAGGGUAGCAAACAGG
rnacentral:rRNA from 1 species